rnacentral:rRNA from 1 species
AACGAACGCUGGCGGCAUGCCUAACACAUGCAAGUCGAACGAGACCUUCGGGUCUAGUGGCGCACGGGUGCGUAACGCGUGGGAACCUGCCCUUAGGUUCGGAAUAACUCCCCGAAAGGGGUGCUAAUACCGGAUAAUGUCUUCGGACCAAAGAUUUAUCGCUUUUGGAUGGGCCCGCGUUGGAUUAGCUAGUUGGUAGGGUAAAAGCCUACCAAGGCGACGAUCCAUAGCUGGUCUGAGAGGAUGAUCAGCCACACUGGGACUGAGACACGGCCCAGACUCCUACGGGAGGCAGCAGUGGGGAAUAUUGGACAAGGGGCGAAAGCCUGAUCCAGCAGUGCCGCGUGAGUGAUGAAGGCCUUAGGGUUGUAAAGCUCUUUUACCCGGGAUGAUAAUGACAGUACCGGGAGAAUAAGCUCCGGCUAACUCCGUG